rnacentral:tRNA from 1 species
CAAGAUAGAGCAUGACAUAUGCAAUUCACUUACAAUGAAUUUAUAGAGUAUUACUCUUAUCCUGA